rnacentral:rRNA from 1 species
CCUACGGGGGACAGCAGUGGGGAAUAUUGCGCAAUGGGCGAAAGCCUGACGCAGCGACGCCGCGUGAGGGAUGAAGGUCUUCGGAUCGUAAACCUCUGUCCGCAGGGAAGAACGGUCACUGUGCUAAUCAGCAGUGAAUUGACGGUACCUGCAAAGGAAGCACCGGCUACCUCCGUGCCAGCAGCCGCGGUCAUACGGAGGGUGCGAGCGUUAAUCGGAAUUACUGGGCGUAAAGCGCUCGUAGGCGGUAUGUCAAGUCAAGGGUGAAAUCCCCGCGCUCAACGUGGGAACUGCCUUUGAAACGGGCAAACUGGAGUGUGUGAGAGGAUAGUGGAAUUCCAGGUGUAGGAGUGAAAUGCGUAGAUAUCUGGAGGAACAUCAGUGGCGAAGGCGACUAUCUGGCACAUAACUGACGCUGAGGAGCGAAAGCGUGGGUAGCAAACAGGAUUAGAUACCCGGGUAGUC